UAGUCCCUUCCUUGAAGCGGUC
rnacentral:miRNA from 2 species